GAUUCAUAUUCCAGAAAAUUUCAUCUACCAUCCAAAGACAUCCAUGAAAUUACAAUCUGACUUGCCAAAUAUCAAGGAAAGUACCUCAUAUAAAAUUUUAAGUCCAACCAUUUCAGAUGAUUAAAAUAUGUAAGUUCUUCAACGGUCAUCUCUAGGACCUCAUUUUUAGAAUAGGAAUCACACCAUUUCAAUUGAAUAGGAAAACAUGUUUGCAAUUCCACAAUACAAUUGCAAUCAAAAUUCAAUUCGACUGACCAAUCAAACAAACUAACUAACCAGGCCCCACUUUAGGAAUGUCAUAAUGCUCACUUAGCUUAGCCAGAUAUUGGUUGAAUUCUUGAAUCUGAUCACGGUGUGAUUUACUGGCCAUCUUAGUAAGUCUUUGGAGAUCAAUUUUCUCCCACUGUUGAAGAUAACGCCUCUCAGCUGCUGUAAUAUGGUCAUCGUACUUGGCAGCCUGACCCUUU
rnacentral:misc_RNA from 1 species